rnacentral:miRNA from 1 species
AUGGUGAGUGUGGACGUG